rnacentral:rRNA from 1 species
GUGAGGAAUAUUGGACAAUGGGUGGAAGCCUGAUCCAGCCAUCCCGCGUGUAGGAUGACGGCCUUAUGGGUUGUAAACUACUUUUAUCUGGGGAUAAACCUACUUACGUGUAAGUAGCUGAAGGUACCAGAAGAAUAAGCACCGGCUAACUCCGUGCCAGCAGCCGCGGUAAUACGGAGGGUGCAAGCGUUAUCCGGAUUUAUUGGGUUUAAAGGGUCCGUAGGCGGAUUAAUCAGUCAGUGGUGAAAUCUCAUAGCUUAACUAUGAAACUGCCAUUGAUACUGUUAGUCUUGAGUGAUGUUGAAGUUGCUGGAAUGUGUAGUGUAGCGGUGAAAUGCUUAGAUAUUACGCAGAACACCAAUUGCGAAGGCAGGUGACUAAACAUUAACUGACGCUGAUGGACGAAAGCGUGGGGAGCGAACAGGAUUAGAAACCCCGGUAGUCC